CAGUCGCCGCGGUAAAACGAGGGGGGCAAGCGUUGUUCGGAAUUAUUGGGCGUAAAGGGCGCGUAGGCGGUUUGGCAAGUUUCGUGUGAAAUCUUCGGGCUCAACUCGAAGUCUGCACGGAAAACUGCCGGGCUUGAGUAUGGGAGAGGUGAGUGGAAUCUCCGGUGUAGCGGUGAAAUGCGUAGAUAUCGGAAGGAACACCUGUGGCGAAAGCGGCUCACUGGACCAUAACUGACGCUGAGGCGCGAAAGCUAGGGGAGCAAACAGGAUUAGAUACCCCCGUAGUCCCUGUCUCUUAUAC
rnacentral:rRNA from 1 species